GUCUUUUUGAUUAUAAUUUAAAGUCUAACCUGCCCAAUGAGUAUUUAAAUGGCCGCGGUAAUUUGACCGUGCAAAGGUAGCAUAAUCAUUAGUUUUUUAAUUGAAAGCUAGAAUGAAUGGUUGGACGAGAAAAUAGCUGUCUCAAUCUAAUUUUAAUUAGAAUUUUAUUUGUAAGUAAGAAAGCUUACAUAAUUUUAAAAGACGAGAAGACCCUAUAGAAUUUUAUAUAUUUAUAUAUGUUUAUUUUUUAGAAAUUUAGUGUUUAUAUAUAUAAAUAUAUUUUGUUGGGGUGAUAGAAAAAUUUAAUGAACUUUUUUUUUAUUUUAUCAUUAAUGAAUGAAUUAUUGAUCCGUUAUUUACGAUUAUAAGAUUAAAUUACCUUAGGGAUAACAGCGUAAUUUUUUUUUAGAGUUCUUAUCGAAAAAAGAGUUUGCGACCUCGAUGUUGGAUUAAAAUUAACUUAUGGUGUAGGGGCUAUAAAGUUAGGUCUGUUCGACCUUUAAAAUUUUACAUGAUCUGAGU
rnacentral:rRNA from 1 species